rnacentral:rRNA from 1 species
UACGGAGGGUCCAAGCGUUAUCCGGAAUCCUUGGGUUUAAAGGGUCCGUAGGCGGUUUUGUAAGUCAGUGGUGAAAGCCCAUCGCUCAACGGUGGAACGGCCAUUGAUACUGCAAGACUUGAAUUAUUAGGAAGUAACUAGAAUAUGUAGUGUAGCGGUGAAAUGCUUAGAGAUUACAUGGAAUACCAAUUGCGAAGGCAGGUUACUACUAAUGGAUUGACGCUGAUGGACGAAAGCGUGGGGAGCGAACAGG